GACGAACGCUGGCGGCGUGCUUAACACAUGCAAGUCGAACGGAAAGGCCCUGCUUUUGUGGGGUGCUCGAGUGGCGAACGGGUGAGUAACACGUGAGUAACCUGCCCUUGACUUUGGGAUAACUUCAGGAAACUGGGGCUAAUACCGGAUAGGAGCUCCUGCGGCAUGGAGGGGGUUGGAAAGUUUCGGCGGUUGGGGAUGGACUCGCGGCUUAUCAGCUUGUUGGUGGGGUAGUGGCUUACCAAGGCUUUGACGGGUAGCCGGCCUGAGAGGGUGACCGGCCACAUUGGGACUGAGGUACGGCCCAGACUCCUACGGGAGGCAGCAGUGGGGAAUAUUGCACAAUGGGCGGAAGCCUGAUGCAGCAACGCCGCGUGCGGGAUGACGGCCUUCGGGUUGUAAACCGCUUUCGCCUGUGACGAAGCGUGAGUGACGGUAAUGGGUAAAGAAGCACCGGCUAACUACGUG
rnacentral:rRNA from 1 species